AUGUGAAGAGCUUUGGCCAUUUUUAGUCUUUGGUUUGGUUACUCAAGUUGUCUUUGGUUUGUGUUUGAUGUUUAUUGAUGGAAGGUGUAAUGAGUUUAUAUAAAGAGGCAUUGGAGAAUUUGGUUUAAGGUGGUGAGAAUGG